UACCAUGAUGAGCAUUUAUUUUACUGCGUUAUCGUAUUGAUGGGGGCUGUUUAAGUACAGUGUUGUUCUAUAAUCUAUAUUCAUUUAUAUUUUAUAUUUCUUACCAAGGAAAUUGACUUUUAACAGAUUUGCUGAAA
rnacentral:snoRNA from 23 species